UUUCAUGUGAACUUGAAUUGUUCUCUGAGG
rnacentral:piRNA from 1 species